AAGAAAGUGGUAAAGUGGCUAUACAGAUGGCUUGAAACCAUCUCACAGGGGUUCGAUUCCUCUCUUUCUCG
rnacentral:tRNA from 1 species